rnacentral:lncRNA from 1 species
CUGCCUGGUGCAUACCUCCACUGUCUUUUUCAGAUGUGGAUGCAAACUGCAGAUAAGAGUAUGCACACUUUUUUUCUUCUUCUUCUUAGUGCUGCUGUGAAGUUACAGUCGCAAUAUUAAGAUGACAAGAAGUUCAAGACAAGAUAAAGGACCUUGGUGUGAUUGGACACUGAGAGUUCCUUAUUCUGCAAACCUCUAAGUACCUUAAGCUACUUCAGUUGGGCAAAAAAAGAUAACCAAGGAGGGAAAGUCUACUGUGUCAUGAAUGGCUUCAGGAAGGUGAAGAUGGAAGAAUCAUUCAGAGAACAAGAACUACGGGGCAAACGGUGAAAGGACCAGAAGGUGAUGGCAAGCGAGGCUGUUUUUCCAGCAUGAGUACAACUGAGUAAUAAAGCCGAAGGGUGAAGAACAGUCGCCAAGGCAAAGAACAAUCAUCAAGGCAGCUAUUGCAGUCCUCUGUGAACACAGGAGAGUCACAAGGCUUUGGUGGCUGGUAUUCCAUUAGCCAUUUCUCCAGCAGAGCUUGUAAUGGACAGAAUUUGUUGUUUGCAGCUAUCUACCGUAUUUAAAACUUGAAAGAAAAUGAUCUCUAUUUUUUUUCUGUUACCACUCCAGCAGUAAAUAACAACCACGUAAGUCGCAUUCUUGUAAUAUCUUUACUCAUGCAAAUUGCUUGACUUUCAU